GACGAACGCUGGCGGCGUGCCUAAUACAUGCAAGUAGAACGCAGUUGCGAACAGGAGAGUAACGCGUAGGUAACUGCCUGGUAGCGGGGGAUAACUCUUGGAAACGAUAGCUAAUACCGCAUACUACCGGCUGGCCCUGCGUUGUAUUAGCUAGUUGGUGAGGUAACGGCUCACCAAGGCAACGAUACAUGGCCGACCGGAGACGGGGAUCGGCCACACGGUGACUGAGACACGGCCCAGACUCCUACGGGAGGCAGCAGUAGGGAAUCUUCGGCAAUGGAGGAACCCUGACCGAGCAACGCCGCGUGAGUGAAGAAGGGUUUCGGAUCGUAAAGCUCUGUUGUUAAGGAAGCGGUACUUAACCAGAAAGGGACGGCUAACUACGUGCCAGCAGCCGCGGUAAUUC
rnacentral:rRNA from 1 species